rnacentral:rRNA from 1 species
UGGGGAAUAUUGCACAAUGGGCGCAAGCCUGAUGCAGCCAUGCCGCGUGUAUGAAGAAGGCCUUCGGGUUGUAAAGUACUUUCAGUCGGGAGGAAGGUGGUAAGGUUAAUAACCUUAUCAAUUGACGUUACCGACAGAAGAAGCACCGGCUAACUCCGUGCCAGCAGCCGCGGUAAUACGGAGGGUGCAAGCGUUAAUCGGAAUUACUGGGCGUAAAGCGCACGCAGGCGGUCUGUCAAGUCGGAUGUGAAAUCCCCGGGCUCAACCUGGGAACUGCAUUCGAAACUGGCAGGCUAGAGUCUUGUAGAGGGGGGUAGAAUUCCAGGUGUAGCGGUGAAAUGCGUAGAGAUCUGGGGGAAUACCGGUGGCGAAGGCGGCCCCCUGGACAACGACUGACGCUCAGGUGCGAAGGAGUGGGGAGCAAACAGG